rnacentral:rRNA from 1 species
CACGUAGGGCGCAAGCGUUGUCCGGAAUUAUUGGGCGUAAAGAGCUCGUAGGCGGUCUGCUGCGUCUGCUGUGAAAACUCGGGGCUUAACCCCGAGCCUGCAGUGGAUACGGGCAGACUAGAGGUAGGUAGGGGAGAAUGGAAUUCCCGGUGUAGCGGUGAAAUGCGCAGAUAUCGGGAGGAACACCGGUGGCGAAGGCGGUUCUCUGGGCCUUACCUGACGCUGAGGAGCGAAAGCGUGGGGAGCGAACAGG